rnacentral:rRNA from 1 species
AACGAACGCUGGCGGCAUGCCUAACACAUGCAAGUCGAACGAACCCUUCGGGGUUAGUGGCGCACGGGUGCGUAACGCGUGGGAAUCUGCCCUUUGCUUCGGAAUAACUCAGGGAAACUUGUGCUAAUACCGGAUGAUGUCUUCGGACCAAAGAUUUAUCGGCAAGGGAUGAGCCCGCGUAGGAUUAGGUAGUUGGUGGGGUAAAGGCCCACCAAGCCGACGAUCCUUAGCUGGUCUGAGAGGAUGAUCAGCCACACUGGGACUGAGACACGGCCCAGACUCCUACGGGAGGCAGCAGUGGGGAAUAUUGGACAAUGGGCGCAAGCCUGAUCCAGCAAUGCCGCGUGAGUGAUGAAGGCCCUCGGGUCGUAAAGCUCUUUUACCAGGGAUGAUAAUGACAGUACCUGGAGAAUAAGCUCCGGCUAACUCCGUG